rnacentral:piRNA from 1 species
GCCUUUGAAGAAGCCCAGACGAUUAUGAAU